UACAGAGGUCCCGAGCGUUGUUCGGAUUCACUGGGCGUAAAGGGUGCGUAGGCGGUUCUGAAAGUCUGAUGUGAAAUCUCCGGGCCCAACCCGGAAAUGGCAUUAGAAACUGCAGGGGCUAGAGGCGUUGGAGGGGGAACUGGAAUGCUCGGUGUAGCAGUGAAAAUGCGUAGAGAUCGAGCGGAACACCAGUGGCGAAGGCGAGUUCCUGGACAAGACCUGACGUGAGGCGCGAAAAGCGUGGGGGAGCAAAACAGG
rnacentral:rRNA from 1 species